AACGAACGCUGGCGGCAGGCCUAACACAUGCAAGUCGAGCGGACCCUUCGGGGUUAGCGGCGGACGGGUGAGUAACGCGUGGGAAUAUGCCCUUCUCUACGGAAUAGUCCUGGGAAACUGGGGGUAAUACCGUAUACGCCCUUUGGGGGAAAGAUUUAUCGGGGAAGGAUUAGCCCGCGUUGGAUUAGGUAGUUGGUGGGGUAAUGGCCUACCAAGCCGACGAUCCAUAGCUGGUUUGAGAGGAUGAUCAGCCACACUGGGACUGAGACACGGCCCAGACUCCUACGGGAGGCAGCAGUGGGGAAUCUUAGACAAUGGGGGCAACCCUGAUCUAGCCAUGCCGCGUGAGUGAUGAAGGCCUUAGGGUUGUAAAGCUCUUUCAGCUGGGAAGAUAAUGGCGGUACCAGCAGAAGAAGCCCCGGCUAACUCCGUG
rnacentral:rRNA from 1 species